rnacentral:lncRNA from 12 species
AUGGGUAGGAGUGGGCGAGGAAUCUUUUUCUUUAUUUUCUCUCUUUUCUUUUCUUUCUUUUUUUCUUUUAUUUUCCUUUUCAUUUCCUGUCCUUUCCUGUCCUUUUUGUCUUUCUUUUUUAAGCAUGGACAGCCUGGUCCGAGUGUGCAAAGCUGUGGCUUCCCCUCCUGUGGAUGCCUUCUGAACAGCAGAUCUGACUUCCUCCUCAAACCAAGGCAUCCUGAAAACAUCCAAGCAGAGGAAGCAUUUUUUCACCAUGACAUGGGAAAGGGCCAUAGAGAUCCAAAUGGAAACGGACAUUUCAUAGUGUGUUUCACAAUGACAGAAGACGGGAUGAUAAAGUUAGAAGAAUUAAACAAACAAGAAAAUAAGGUGCCUGCAACACCCCCUGAUGAAAGCUCAUUACUUAUUCUGCUUGAAUGAUUUUAUAUUGGAUAAAUCUAGUAUAAAGUGAGAACCCUAUUUCCAGCUGAGGCUUAAAGAUGUUUUACUAAAACAUGCUUAAGCAAAUGCAUCGGAUGCCUCACAAGGAAGAUACACACAGAGCUAUCUUUGAAGAAAUUCAAUAAAUUGUGUAUCAGCAGCUGAAGAAAGAUACUC